rnacentral:rRNA from 1 species
UGGGGAAUAUUGGACAAUGGGCGCAAGCCUGAUCCAGCCAUGCCGCGUGGAUGAAGAAGGCCCUAGGGUUGUAAAGUCCUUUCGGUGGUGAAGAUAAUGACGGUAACCACAGAAGAAGCCCCGGCUAAUUUCGUGCCAGCAGCCGCGGUAAUACGAAAGGGGCUAGCGUUGUUCGGAAUUACUGGGCGUAAAGCGCACGUAGGCGGCCUUGUAAGAUGGGGGUGAAAUCCCUGGGCUCAACCCAGGAACUGCCUUCAUGACUGCAAAGCUCGAGGAUGUGAGAGGUUGGCGGAAUUCCGAGUGUAGAGGUGAAAUUCGUAGAUAUUCGGAAGAACACCAGUGGCGAAGGCGGCCAACUGGCACAUUUCUGACGCUGAGGUGCGAAAGCGUGGGGAGCAAACAGGAUUAGAUACCCAGUAGUCCCUGAGCGGGCUGGCAAGGCGCAU